rnacentral:rRNA from 1 species
AUUGAACGCUGGCGGCAGGCCUAACACAUGCAAGUCGAACGGAGUGGCGAACGGGUGAGUAAUGUAUCGGAACGUGCCCAGUCGCGGGGGAUAACUACGCGAAAGCGUAGCUAAUACCGCAUACUAUUGGAGCGGCCGAUGUCGGAUUAGCUAGUUGGUGGGGUAACGGCUCAGCAAGGCGACGAUCCGUAGCCGGUUUGAGAGGACGACCAGCCACACUGGGACUGAGGCACGGCCCAGAGUCCUACGGGAGGCAGCAGUGGGGAAUUUUGGGCAAUGGGAGAAAGCCUGAUCCAGCCAUGCCGCGUGGGCGAUGAAGGCCUUCGGGUUGUAAAGCACUUUUGGCAGGAAAGCGGUACCUGCAGAAUAAGCACCGGCUAACUACGUGCCAGCAGCCGCGGUAAUUC